AGUGAACGCUGGCGGUAGGCCUAACACAUGCAAGUCGAACGGCAGCACAGUAAGAGCUUGCUCUUACGGGUGGCGAGUGGCGGACGGGUGAGGAAUACAUCGGAAUCUACUUUUUCGUGGGGGAUAACGUAGGGAAACUUACGCUAAUACCGCAUACGACCUACGGGUGAAAGCAGGGGAUCUUCGGACCUUGCGCGAUUGAAUGAGCCGAUGUCGGAUUAGCUGGUUGGCGGGGUAAAGGCCCACCAAGGCGACGAUCCGUAGCUGGUCUGAGAGGAUGAUCAGCCACACUGGAACUGAGACACGGUCCAGACUCCUACGGUAGGCAGCAGUGGGGAAUAUUGGACAAUGGGCGCAAGCCUGAUCCAGCCAUACCGCGUGGGUGAAGAAGGCCUUCGGGUUGUAAAGCCCUUUUGUUGGGAAAGAAAAGCAGCAGGUUAAUACCCCGCUGUUCUGACGGUACCCAAAGAAUAAGCACCGGCUAACUUCGUG
rnacentral:rRNA from 1 species